UGGGGAAUAUUGGACAAUGGGCGCAAGCCUGAUCCAGCCAUGCCGCGUGAGUGAUGAAGGCCUUAGGGUUGUAAAGCUCUUUCGGCGGGGACGAUAAUGACGGUACCCGCAGAAGAAGCCCCGGCUAACUUCGUGCCAGCAGCCGCGGUAAUACGAAGGGGGCUAGCGUUGCUCGGAAUCACUGGUCGUAAAGGGCGCGUAGGCGGACAUUUAAGUCGGGGGUGAAAGCCCAGGGCUCAACCCUGGAAUUGCCUCCGAUACUGGGUGUCUCGAGACCGGAAGAGGUGAGUGGAACUGCGAGUGUAGAGGUGAAAUUCGUAGAUAUUCGCAAGAACACCAGUGGCGAAGGCGGCUCACUGGUCCGGUUCUGACGCUGAGGCGCGAAAAGCGUGGGGAGCAAACAGGAUUAGAUACCCUGGUAGUCCACGCCGUAAACGAUGGAUGCUAGCCGUUGGCAGGCUUGCCUGUCAGUGGCGCAGCUAACGCUUUAAGCAUCCCGCCUGGGGAGUACGGCCGCAAGGUUAAAACUUAAAUGAAUUGACGGGGUCAUAGCUGUUUCCU
rnacentral:rRNA from 1 species